GGUUGAUCCUGCCAGUAGUCAUAUGCUUGUCUCAAAGAUUAAGCCAUGCAUGUCUAAGUAUAAACAUCUUUAUACAGUGAAACUGCGUACAGCUCAUUAUAUCAGUUAUGAUUUAUUUGAUGGUACCUUACUACAUGGAUACCCGUAGUAAUUCUAGAGCUAAUACAUGCGUCAAAUCCCGACUCGUGAGGGGAGGGAUGUAUUUAUUAGAUAAAAAACCAAUGUCGGCUCUGCCGUCCUCUUUUGGUGAUUCAUAGUAACUGGCUCGAAUCGCAUGGCUUUAUGCUGGCGAU
rnacentral:rRNA from 1 species